rnacentral:rRNA from 1 species
AGCAGCCGCGGUAAUUCCAGCUCCAAUAGCGUAUAUUAAAGUUGUUACAGUUAAAAAGCUCGUAGUUGAAUUUCGGGGUCAGUAGGUCGGUCGUGCCACUGGUAUGAACUGGUUUUACUGAUUCCUCCCUCUUGAAGAACUGUAAUGCCAUUAAUUUGGUGUUGCAGGGAAUCAGGACUGUUACUUUGAAAAAUUAGAGUGUUUAAAGCAGGCUUUAGCUUGAAUACAUUAGCAUGGAAUAAUGAAAUAGGACGUUUGAUCCUAUUUUGUUGGUUUCUAGGAUUGACGUAAUGAUUAAUAGGGAUAGUUGGGGCAUUAGUAUUCAAUUGUCAGAGGUGAAAUUCUUGGAUUUAUUGAAGACUAACUACUGCGAAAGCAUUUUGCCAAGGAUGUUUUCAUUAAUCAAGAACGAAAGUUAGGGGAUCGAAGACGAUCAGAUACCGUCGUAGUCUUAACCAUAAACUAUGCCGAACUAGGGAUCGGAUGAUGUUAAUUUUUAAUG